rnacentral:rRNA from 1 species
GACGUAGGAGGCGAGCGUUGUCCGGAUUCAUUGGGCGUAAAGAGCGCGCAGGCGGUUUGGCAAGUCGGAUGUGAAAACCCGGAGCUCAACUCCGGACCUGCAUCCGAAACUGCCCGACUAGAGGUAGGUAGGGGAGAUCGGAAUUCCUGGUGUAGCGGUGAAAUGCGCAGAUAUCAGGAGGAACACCGGUGGCGAAGGCGGAUCUCUGGGCCAUUACUGACGCUGAGGAGCGAAAGCGUGGGGAGCGAACAGG